GCGCGGAUGGCCGAGUGGUUCAGGCACCUGUCCGGUAAACAGAGGACGCUGGUUCGAUUCCAGCUCUGGACA